rnacentral:rRNA from 1 species
CCCCUAGACGUUCUGGGCUGCACGCGCGCUACAAUAAUACGCACAGCGAGUAUCACCGAGCUCGAAAGGGCAAGGUAAACAAUAGAAAAGGUACUGUAAUGGUUAUAGAUCCUCGUAAUUAUUGAUCUUCAACGAGGAAUUCCUAGUAAGUAUGUGUCAUCAUCACGCACUGAUUACGUCCCUGCCCUUUGUACACACCGCCCGUCGCUCCUACCGAUUGGGUGAGCCGAUGAAACUCUCGGAUGUAGGCUAUUCAUAGCCCGCAGAAGAGAUUUGAAUCGUAGCGCUUAGAGGAAGGAGAAGUCGUAACA